AUUGAACGCUGGCGGCAGGCCUAACACAUGCAAGUCGAGCGGAUGAAGGGAGCUUGCUCCUGGAUUCAGCGGCGGACGGGUGAGUAAUGCCUAGGAAUCUGCCUGGUAGUGGGGGAUAACGUCCGGAAACGGGCGCUAAUACCGCAUACGUCCUGAGGGAGAAAGUGGGGGAUCUUCGGACUUCACGCUAUCAGAUGAGCCUAGGUCGGAUUAGCUAGUUGGUGGGGUAAAGGCCUACCAAGGCGACGAUCCGUAACUGGUCUGAGAGGAUGGUCAGUCACACUGGAACUGAGACACGGUCCAGACUCCUACGGGAGGCAGCAGUGGGGAAUAUUGGACAAUGGGCGAAAGCCUGAUCCAGCCAUGCCGCGUGUGUGAAGAAGGUCUUCGGAUUGUAAAGCACUUUAAGUUGGGAGGAAGGGCAGUAAGUUAAUACCUUGCUGUUUUGACGUUACCAACAGAAUAAGCACCGGCUAACUUCGUG
rnacentral:rRNA from 1 species